rnacentral:lncRNA from 7 species
ACUCAUCUGAGUUUUUAUUUGCCAGUUACAGGAAUAUAACUGUAGAAAUUACAGGAAAUUAUCAGUUAUAAUGUAUAAAUGUAUAAUCGAAAGCAGGGGGAAUUUAGAAGUAUUUUAUAGCAGCACGACAGGAUCCAGGAUCCUCACUGGUGGUUGAUUUCUUCCAUCUCUGUCAAUCUCCUGCUAGCUGAUAAGCAGGCUAUUUUUGCUUGAUCAGUUGCUACUGUAAUAAAAUCUGGCAUGUAAGUUCAUGCUUAUAUUCUGCAGUAGGUGCUGCUGUGAAGUACCAGUAUGUCUAGAACUGCCAGUGAUUGGUUGUCAUCAUCCGGGAGUAAAAAUGUCCAGGAACACACAAGACAAUCCAAAUACUCUUCUUAAUUUCAUUGUUUUCAUUGCUAACACAAGCAAAGAAUUAUUGUAUUUAUCAAAGAAAAAGCAAAAUUGUAAAAUAGGAGGACCCUAUUUAGUCAGCUCACUAAAGAUCAAAUUAAGAUUCUUGUGGAUAUUACUGACUUUAGACAUAAGCAAAGUACUACAUCAUAAUCUUGUAUACUCCUCAUGAUACUUAUAAUUGCCUUAGCUAAUGCAUGCUUGAUUACAAAGGUAUUUUACUUGAGCUUCUCUAGCUGAAUAUAGGAACUAAGGACCACUAAGGGUUGAGUUAGGGAAAAUGAUUAUUGAAUUUGACAGUAGAAGUAGUCAGGGUAGGAUUCUGUGGCAGCAGAAGCAAAUCCAAUUGGCUGUGCAAUAAAACUGUGUAUGACAUACACAAUGAGAGGUUUGAAAAUGCCCAGGAAGAUGCCAUUCUCAGCAGCAAUUUGCAGUCCCUAAGUCAAAAUUACCUGUUAAGGGAAAAGGCUGUCAUUUUACCCCUCAGUGUGCAGCGUUGAUCAUUUCUUGGGAAAUAGUAACGUGAAGACUGCUUAUCUGAUCACUUUGGAACCACACCACCAUUGCAGUAGCAGCCAAAGUGAUGACAGUUUUCAAACCCAUUCUUGCACUGCGGAUAUUGUUGUUCUUCUGUUUGGAUAUUCCUGUUGCAAAGCACUUACCCAGUGUGUGGUGGAUGUGAUGCUCUCUCCAGGACAGUCCUAGCAGUCUGUGCACCUCCAAGCACUCUCAAGUACUUUUUAGCUGCAGCUCAGGCAGUGCAUAGCCUGCCACAACCAUUUUAGUUACUGUAAAGUCCUCCAAUGCCCUGAGAUACUUUGAGCAGACUGUGAACA